AGCGAACGCUGGCGGCAGGCUUAACACAUGCAAGUCGAGCGGGCAUCCUUGUGGUGUCAGCGGCAGACGGGUGAGUAACGCGUGGGAACGUGCCCUUCGGUUCGGAAUAACUCAGGGAAACUUGAGCUAAUACCGGAUACGUGCGAGAGCAGAAAGGUUUAUCUGCCGAAGGAUCGGCCCGCGUCUGAUUAGCUAGUUGGUGAGGUUACGGCUCACCAAGGCGACGAUCAGUAGCUGGUCUGAGAGGAUGAUCAGCCACACUGGGACUGAGACACGGCCCAGACUCCUACGGGAGGCAGCAGUGUGGAAUAUUGGACAAUGGGGGCAACCCUGAUCCAGCCAUGCCGCGUGAGUGAUGACGGCCUUAGGGUUGUAAAGCUCUUUUCUCCGGGACGAUAAUGACGGUACCGGAGGAAUAAGCCCCGGCUAACUUCGUG
rnacentral:rRNA from 1 species